UGGGGAAUAUUGGACAAUGGGCGCAAGCCUGAUCCAGCCAUGCCGCGUGUGUGAAGAAGGCCUUCGGGUUGUAAAGCACUUUUGUUGGGGAAGAAAAGCACUGGGUUAAUACCUUGGUGUCAUGACGGUACCCAAAGAAUAAGCACCGGCUAACUUCGUGCCAGCAGCCGCGGUAAUACGAAGGGUGCAAGCGUUACUCGGAAUUACUGGGCGUAAAGCGUGCGUAGGCGGUUUGUUAAGUCUGUCGUGAAAGCCCCGGGCUCAACCUGGGAAUGGCGAUGGAUACUGGCGAGCUAGAGUACGGUAGAGGAGAGUGGAAUUCCCGGUGUAGCAGUGAAAUGCGUAGAGAUCGGGAGGAACAUCAGUUGCGAAGGCGGCUCUCUGGACCAGUACUGACGCUGAGGCACGAAAGCGUGGGGAGCAAACA
rnacentral:rRNA from 1 species